rnacentral:rRNA from 1 species
AGAUACCCUAGUACACUUAAAUUUAAUUAAUAACAUUAGAAUAUUAGAAGUUAUGUUCUUUAAAUUUAAAAAAUUUGGCGGUGUUUUAGUCUAGUUAGAGGAACCUGUUUUAUAAACGAUAUGGCACGUAUUAUUUUACUUAUUUUGGUAGGUCAGCUUGUAUACCGUCAUUAUAAGAUAAUUUAAGAGAGAAUAUUAUUGAAAUCAUAUUAUUGAGUAUAUUAGAUCAAGGUGCAGCUUAUAGAUAAGUAAAUAUGGGUUACAAUAAAAUUUAUUUAAUAUGAAUUAAGUAUUUAAAUAUGUUUAUGAAGGAGGAUUUAAUUGUAAGGAAAGAGUAGAGAGCUUUUCUGAUAAAAGCUCUAAAUUAUGUACAUAUCGCCCGUCGCU